UACAGAGGGGGCUAGCGUUGUUCGGAAUUACUGGGCGUAAAGGGCGCGUAGGUGGCCUGUUAAGUCGAACGUGAAAUCCCCGGGCUCAACCCGGGAACUGCGUCCGAGACUGGCAGGCUCGAAUCCGGGAGAGGGAUGUGGAAUUCCAGGUGUAGCGGUGAAAUGCGUAGAUAUCUGGAGGAACACCGGUGGCGAAGGCGGCAUCCUGGACCGGUAUUGACGCUGAGGCGCGAAAUCCAGGGGAGCAAACGGG
rnacentral:rRNA from 1 species